GGAAAUAUUGAAAAUACAUUUUUUUUAAAUCAUCUAUAUGAUCUAUCGAAGAAACUUGAAUCUUAAAAUCUUCUUUGUGAGGUGAUUUUCAAGUUUCUUGUCCCUCUUCCAUCUCUAAUCUACUCAACCCCUGAAACAAUCUUGCACAAAAGGUUAAUAUCUUAAAGGAUGACGUCAUAGAGUUCUUUUGCAAGCAUACCCUUAAAGCCAUCUUUAGCUUCAGGUGUCCCGUAAAUCUCUCAGGUCUAACGCCUCAUCUUGCAAAUUAUGUCUUUUAGUUAUCCUUAAGUUCCUCUGAAGAAUUAUCAAGUGCGGCAAU
rnacentral:lncRNA from 1 species